GGAAAGGUGAAAAGAACCGCAGUGAGCGGAGUGAAAUAGAACCUGAAACCAUCUGCUUACAAUCAUUCAGAGCCCUAUGAUUUAUCAGGGUGAUGGACUGCCUUUUGCAUAAUGAUCCUGCGAGUUGUGGUAUCUGGCAAGGUUAAGCGAAUGCGAAGCCGUAGCGAAAGCGAGUCUUAAUAGGGCGCUUGAGUCAGAUGCUGCAGACCCGAAGCUAAGUGAUCUAUCCAUGGCCAAGUUGAAGCGCGUGUAAUAGCGCGUGGAGGACUGAACUCGUACCCAUUGAAACGGGUUGGGAUGAGCUGUGGAUAGGGGUGAAAGGCCAAACAAACUUAGUGAUAGCUGGUUCUCUUCGAAAUAUAUUUAGGUAUAGCCUCAAGUGAUAAUAAAAGGGGGUAGAGCGCUGAUUGGGCUAGGGCUGCUCGCCGCGGUACCAAACCCUAUCAAACUUCGAAUACCUUUUAUCGUAUCUUGGAGUCAGGCGGUGGGUGAUAAAAUCAAUCGUCAAAGGGGAACAACCCAGACUACCAAAUAAGGUCCCUAAGUUCUAUUCUGAGUGGAAAAAGAUGUGUGGCUACUCAAACAACCAGGAGGUUGGCUUAGAAGCAGCCAUCCUUUAAAGAAAGCGUAACAGCUCACUGGUCUAGUGGUCAUGCGCUGAAAAUAUAACGGGGCUAAGAUAGACACCGAAUUUGUAGAUUGUGUUUGACACAGUGGUAGAAGAGCGUUCAUACCAGCGUUGAAGGUAUACCGGUAAGGAGUGCUGGAGCGGUAUGAAGUGAGCAUGCAGGAAUGAGUAACGAUAAGAUAUAUGAGAAUUGUAUCCGCCGUAAAUCUAAGGUUUCCUACGCGAUGGUCGUCAUCGUAGGGUUAGUCGGGUCCUAAGCCGAGUCCGAAAGGGGUAGGUGAUGGCAAAUUGGUUAAUAUUCCAAUACCGACUAUGGAGCGUGAUGGGGGACGCAUAGGGUUAAGCGAGCUAGCUGAUGGAAGUGCUAGUCUAAGGGCGUAGAUUGGAGGGAAGGCAAAUCCACCUCUGUAUUUGAAACCCAAACAGGCUCUUUGAGUCCUUUUAGGACAAAGGGAGAAUCGCUGAUACCGUCGUGCCAAGAAAAGCCUCUAAGCAUAUCCAUAGUCGUCCGUACCGCAAACCGACACAGGUAGAUGAGAUGAGUAUUCUAAGGCGCGUGAAAGAACUCUGGUUAAGGAACUCUGCAAACUAGCACCGUAAGUUCGCGAUAAGGUGUGCCACAGCGAUGUGGUCUCAGCAAAGAGUCCCUCCCGACUGUUUACCAAAAACACAGCACUUUGCCAACUCGUAAGAGGAAGUAUAAGGUGUGACGCCUGCCCGGUGCUCGAAGGUUAAGAGGAUGCGUCAGUCGCAAGAUGAAGCGUUGAAUUGAAGCCCGAGUAAACGGCGGCCGUAACUAUAACGGUCCUAAGGUAGCGAAAUUCCUUGUCGGUUAAAUACCGACCUGCAUGAAUGGCGUAACGAGAUGGGAGCUGUCUCAACCAGAGAUUCAGUGAAAUUGUAGUGGAGGUGAAAAUUCCUCCUACCCGCGGCAAGACGGAAAGACCCCGUGGACCUUUACUACAACUUAGCACUGCUAAUGGGAAUAUCAUGCGCAGGAUAGGUGGGAGGCUUUGAAGUAAGGGCUUUGGCUCUUAUGGAGUCAUCCUUGAGAUACCACCCUUGAUGUUUCUGUUAGCUAACUGGCCUGUGUUAUCCACAGGCAGGACAAUGCUUGGUGGGUAGUUUGACUGGGGCGGUCGCCUCCUAAAAAGUAACGGAGGCUUGCAAAGGUUGGCUCAUUGCGGUUGGAAAUCGCAAGUUGAGUGUAAUGGCACAAGCCAGCCUGACUGUAAGACAUACAAGUCAAGCAGAGACGAAAGUCGGUCAUAGUGAUCCGGUGGUUCUGUGUGGAAGGGCCAUCGCUCAAAGGAUAAAAGGUACCCCGGGGAUAACAGGCUGAUCUCCCCCAAGAGCUCACAUCGACGGGGAGGUUUGGCACCUCGAUGUCGGCUCAUCGCAUCCUGGGGCUGGAGCAGGUCCCAAGGGUAUGGCUGUUCGCCAUUUAAAGCGGUACGCGAGCUGGGUUCAGAACGUCGUGAGACAGUUCGGUCCCUAUCUGCCGUGGGCGUAGGAAAGUUGAGGAGAGCUGUCCCUAGUACGAGAGGACCGGGAUGGACGUGUCACUGGUGCACCAGUUGUUCUGCCAAGAGCAUCGCUGGGUAGCUACACACGGAUGUGAUAACUGCUGAAAGCAUCUAAGCAGGAAGCCAACUCCAAGAUGAACUUUCCCUGAAGCUCGCACAAAGACUAUGUGCUUGAUAGGGUAGAUGUGUAAGCGCAGUAAUGCGUUUAGCUGACUACUACUAAUAGAGCGUUUGGCUUGUUUU
rnacentral:rRNA from 1 species